GCAGGGAGGCUACAGCGGGCCGGGGCUCCAGCAGGGGGUGCGCGCGCCUCGCCACUGCCUUUCCAGCCUAGUAAUUCCUACAGUGUGUUGUGAGCUGCCGAUGGGGUGCAGAUUCUUCAUCACUGGACUGCCAGAGAUGUCCCGACACAUAUAUUUUUGUGCACAUAUGCUUCUAGUCCUGAAGACCAAGGAAUGUGAUCAUGAAUCUUUGUGUGUGUGUGUGUGAUCAUGAAUCUUACAGGUUACAAAUAUGUAUUUGUCUAGUGCGUGUUUUGUCUGGUAUCACAUGCCUUAGAAUGCAAUUUCUCAAAAGGAAAACUCUGUAAUGUGUAUGUGCCAUAAAUGUCAGGCAUGUUGUGGUUCCUUAACACAUAUUUUAAAACAAUAAUAGUUUGCAGAAUAGCCAGUAAAUUCAUAUGACAUAAUUAGCUAAAUACCAGUAGGGGUAUUUUCUUUAAGUGGGUCUCUUGAACCGCAGAUUCAGAGAGCGUGCUUUCCAUAACCCGAAGGAUGUUGGCUGUUCUUUACAGGAAGCCCAGAGAGUCUCUUCAGGCUUCUUCUUAUAACAAACACCUACUUGAACUAUGAUUUUGGAAUCAUUUCCAUUGCAAAUCCCCUCUUUCCACACCCCUUUAAAAGGCAGCUGCAAUAUUUGGCAUGUAACCAGGGCCUGCUGCACCAACAAUUCUCUAAAUUUUAUUUAUAUUUCAUGCGCAGUAUGUUCAAACUCUCACUUUCCCAGGUGCCAGAUGCUGGUUUGGACACACUCCAGUGGAAAGUGCUUUCCUAUAAAAUAAUAAAAGGAAAAUGCUGAACAAACCACCUCUUUAUACAGACUUGUACCUAGUAUACCAGAGUUAAGUACUGUAAUAAUGACUUCACUAUUUCCCCCAAUUUGCAAUCCCCUGAAUUCCCUCCUCACCUCCCUCCACAACAAAUACUUUGUCUCUAGGCAUCAGUAAGAUGCUUAUGGUCCUCUUACAUUUCUUCAGCGUUCACUUAAAAGCAUCAGGGUAUAGGAGUCUGUCUUACAUGAUUUGGAUCGCACCUGAUGCAACUCACCCAUGGGCAUUUCAACUAUACGAUUUGGAUGAGAAAAAACAUUUUAACCCACUUCCAGAAUUUUGAAAAGAUAUCUAACAAAUUAAUGUCUGCUAUGUUAAUGGCUUUUAUAUGUUUUCACUAAAAAGUGAUGCUUUCCAUGUGUUGGUAAUAAUACUGUCUCUUCAGUCACACAGAAUUUUGCCAAGACACUCAGAAUGAACUCAGAAUUCACCAUUGUCAUAGGGUUCUUGCCUGCCUAAAGGCAAUCCUCAAUCCGAAGAGCCUACUUAUGAAAUGAGCAGCAGUGUUAGGUGGAUACUGAGAAAGUGGCUAUCAUUCAAGAGAUUGUCAGUCCACCCGUGGUGUCCACCUCCACCUGUUUCACCAGUUUCUGUGGUAACAUUUCACUGAGCUGAGAACCAGUACAAUUCCUUGUUCUAUCCCAGAAACACUGGGAACCUUAGGCACGAAAAUUUAUGUUUGUGCCAAAAAGCUUGUGGUUAUAUUAUGAGGUUUAAAUGAACUCUUGUAAAGUGGGUUAUGGGGUGUGUGUGUGUAUGGGUGUGUGUGUGUGUGUAUGGGUGUGUGUGUGUGUGUGUGUGUGUGUGUGUGUGUGUGUGUGUGUGUGUGUGUGUGUAAAGCAGCUAUAAAAUACAAUAUUCUGCAUGGUUGCUGGUAUCCCUUUGUCUUGUCUUGCUCUUUCCACUAGAUGGCGGUGGAAGCCCAAGAAAUAACUUGCAAAGGCCUGGUGGAGGGCGGUAAGAGGGGUGUUCUUUCCUUUAACUGGGUUGUUGGUAGCUGAGCUGGCACGUUCUUGUUCCUCUGUUGCGAGUGGGCAUGGUAUAAUUUUUCUUUUUUCGUGUAUGUGUUGGGGGGAGGCCGGAAGAGUUGCCACAGACCACCUGUUUAAUCCAGGUUCAAUUUAAGCAUAGGGCAGCAUCUCGCCAGCUGGCAAAAAAAAAAAAAAAAUCCAUAGAAUUUCUCUCAACUAUUAACAGACUUGGGUAGAAGCUAGGGAACCGUUUCCGGAGAGCAGCCAGCAUCGAUUUAGAGAUGCUGCGGCAUCUGUUGCCUAUAUUUGUGGAGAUGGAAGAGAGCCACUCGCUGGUGAGGUAUGACCGCGGCGACCUGGGGACUGAAAUCCACACUGCGACCUGCGAUCAACCCACAAGUACUUAUGGAUUCCCUCCCAUAUGCCCAUCACUGUAUCAGAAGCUACAUAAGAAACAUAAGAGGUGGCGUCCUCCCGGCCUCUUGUGGUGGAGAACACAAAACAUACAGAGAGAUCAGCAAGACCUCGCCGGACUAAGUUAUCAUUGUGUGAAGACGGUCCCAGGCAUUUCCAACAGACCGGAGAGUCUCAGGUCAUCCUUCUUGCCAGGACUAUCUCCGGAGCACUUUGGCCACGCGGCGGGAGCUCGCGCCGCCGGCCGCAGCCAGAGCUCGGGA